CAUAUUCAUUUUGACGUUUAGCUGCAGAAGAAGCACCGGCUAACUCCGUGCCAGCAGCCGCGGUAAUACGGAGGGUGCGAGCGUUAAUCGGAAUUUACUGGGCGUAAAGCGCAUGCAGGUGGUUUGUUAAGUCAGAUGUGAAAGCCCCGGGGCUCAACCUCGGAAUUGCAUUUUGAAAACUGGCAAACUAGAGUACUGUAGAGGGGGGUAGAAUUUCAGGUGUAGCGGUGAAAUGCGUAGAGAUCUGAAGGAAUACCGGUGGCGAAGGCGGCCCCCCUGGACAGAUACUGACACUCAGAUGCGAAAGCGUGGGGAGCAAACAGGAUUAGAUACCCUCGGUAG
rnacentral:rRNA from 1 species